rnacentral:rRNA from 1 species
GACGAACGCUGGCGGCGUGCUUAACACAUGCAAGUCGAACGGUGAAGCGCCUUCCUUUUUGGUGGGUGGGGAUGAGUGGCGAACGGGUGAGUAACACGUGAGUAACCUGCCCCCUGCUUCGGGAUAACCGCAUGAAAGUGUUGCUAAUACGGGAUAUUCUGGGUCUGUCGCAGGAUGGGUCUGGGAAAGAUAUUGGUUCGGUGGGGGGUGGGCUCGCGGCCUAUCAGCUUGUUGGGGGGGUGAGGGCCUACCAAGGCGGUGACGGGUAGCCGGCCGGAGAGGGUGGACGGCCCCGCUGGGGCUGAGCCACGGACACGCCUCCUACGGGAGGCAGCAGUGGGGAAUAGUGCACAGUGGGAGCAAGCCUGAUGCAGCGCCGCCGCGUGAGGGAUGGAGGCCUUCGGGUUGUGAACCUCUUUCGCCAGUGAAGCAGGCCUGCCUCGUUUGUGGGUGGGUUGACGGUAGCUGGAUAAGAAGCGCCGGCUAACUACGUG